rnacentral:siRNA from 1 species
CAGAAAUUUGAAUGAUGCGUC